AAGAGGACAAGUACAUCCACAAGUGGGAGGAACAUCAAUGCUUGAUGGAAGGUUCUGUGAACUGAACACUGGAUCUGGCACCCUAAUUUGAUUAACUAGGAGACAGAUUUUCCAGUAUGGAAGGUAAAAGUGUCCCAUCAUGGGGUUCAAUGUUCUGUCCCUCUAGCAGUUACUCUUACCUGGAAAAUUGCUGGGAGAAGUCUCCUUUUCCUCUGGUUCUUUUGGAUCUGCAGUCCACAGCUUGCCACAGUGGACACGUCCCUAAUUCACAGAAGUUUUACUGGGACAAGGUCAUUUUUAAUAGUCUGAAACUAGAAGUAGGAUUCCAGAUGUUACCUGCGAAGUCCACCUGCUAGGGUGGACUUCCUGUGCUCUUUAUCACCAGUGGCAAGAGUUGAUAUAGAAAGUGGAGUUAAAUGGACAAUUCAUCUGGCCAAGCAUAAAUGUUUACCGUGGGAUGUGAGGGACUGUUCCCUGGGUUCUGCUGAUUGUCUCUAAGCUGAGAGAGUCUGAGGUCUGGCUCAGACUCUUUGUGUUUGCAGAUGUCAUAAGUCAUCUG